rnacentral:rRNA from 1 species
GACGAACGCUGGCGGCGUGCUUAACACAUGCAAGUCGAACGGAAAGGCCCUGCUUUUGUGGGGUGCUCGAGUGGCGAACGGGUGAGUAACACGUGAGUAACCUGCCCUUGACUUUGGGAUAACUUCAGGAAACUGGGGCUAAUACCGGAUAGGAGCUCCUGCUGCAUGGUGGGGGUUGGAAAGUUUCGGCGGUUGGGGAUGGACUCGCGGCUUAUCAGCUUGUUGGUGGGGUAGUGGCUUACCAAGGCUUUGACGGGUAGCCGGCGUGAGAGGGUGAACGGCCGCAGGGGAGGUGAGCCGCCGUCCUGGGGCCUAAGAGAGGCCGCAGCCGGGAAGGGGGGGCAAGGGGGGGAAUUUUGAGACAGGGGGAGGGGGUCGGUGAAGAAGGCCCGCGGGGGGGAAAGCCGGUUUGUGGGUAAAAAACAGCUGCCGCUUGAGACCACGCGGGUGUGACGGUAAUGAAAAAAGAAGCACCGGCUAACUUCGUG